rnacentral:tRNA from 1 species
GGUGUGGCUCAGUGGUAGAGCACUCGCCUAGCACAUGUGAGGCACUGGGUUUGAUUCUCAGCACAACA